rnacentral:rRNA from 1 species
GACGAACGCUGGCGGCGUGCCUAAUACAUGCAAGUCGAACGCAGUGGGGACGGGUGAGUAACAUGUGGGUAACCUCCCAUCAGAGGGGAUAACACUUGGAAACAGGUGCUAAACCGAUACUGAUGGAUGGAACCGCGGCGCAUUAGCUAGUUGGUGAGGUAACGGCUCACCAAGGGCACGAUGCAUAGCCGACCUGGGAGGAUGAUCGGCCACACUGGGACUGAGACACGGCCCAGCCUCCUACGGGAAGCAGCAGUAGAGAAUCUUCGACAAUGGGCGAAAGUCUGACCUAGCAACGCCGCGUGAGUGAAGAAGGUUUUCGGAUCGUAAAACUCUGUUGUUAAAGAAGCGGUAUCUACCCAGAAAGCCACGGCUAACUACGUGCCAGCCGCCGCGGUAAUAC